rnacentral:ncRNA from 10 species
AUCGUUCAGCCAUGAUGGCCGGAAGUAGGUAAUACCGAAGGAACGCACC